rnacentral:lncRNA from 1 species
GGGAUAUUCCCAAAUCAGGAAUAAUCCCAAAUCAGGAAUAAUCCCAAAUCAGGAAUAUUCCCAAAAUGAGGAAUAUUCCCAAUGAGGAAUAUCCCCAGUGAGGAACAUUCCCAAAUCAGGAAUAAUCCCAAAAUGAGGGAUAUUCCCAAAUCAGGAUUAUUCCCAAAUUAGGAAUAUUCCCAAUGAGGAAUAUCCCUAAUGAGGAAUAUUCCCAAAUCAGGAAUAAUCCCAAAAUGACGAACAUUCCCAAAUCAUCAAUAUUCCCAAUGAGGAACAUUCCCAAAUCAGGAAUAUUCCCAAAUCAGGAUUAUUCCCAAAAUGAGGAACAUUCCCAAAUCAGGAAUAUUCCCAAAUGAGGGAUAAUCCCAAAAUGAGGGAUAUUCCCAAAAUGAGGAUUAUUCCCAAAAUGAGGAAUAUUCCCAAAUUAGCAAUAUUCCCAAUGAGGAAUAUCCCCAAUGAGGAAGAUUCCUAAAUGAGGAAUAUUCCCAAAUGAGGGAUAAUCCCAAAAUGAGGGAUAUUCCCAAAAUGAGGCUUAUUCCUAAAUCAGGAUUAUUCCCAAAAUGAGGAUUAUUCCCAAAUCAGGAUUAUUCCCAAAUGAGGGAUAUUCCCAAAAUGAGGAUUAUUCCCAAAUUAGCAAUAUUCCCAGUGAGGAACAUUCCUCAAUCAGGAAUAUUCCCAAAUGAGGGAUAUUCCCAAAUCAGGAUUAUUCCCAAAAUGAGGGAUUAUUCCCAAAAUGAGGAUUAUUCCCAAAAUGAGGGAUAUUCCCAAAAUGAGGAUUAUUCCCAAAUGAAGAACAUCAACCCUCAACCCUCCUCUUCCUCCCCUUCUCAUUCCAAGGCACUGCCCAGGGCUGUGCUCAGCAAACAGCCANAAAAAGCAGGAAGGAAAGGAAAAGAAAGCUGCUCAAAUUCUGUACCAUGGGGCUGCUCCUGCGUCUCCCAGAGCCCUCCCAAAUCCUGCACCAGGGUCAGCAGCCCAAGCACAGCUCCAGGCUGGAUGGGGCUUGGAGCAACCUGGGACAGGGAAUGGUGUCCCUGUUUGUGGGGUCAGAGAUGUGAGGUCCCUUCCGAGCUGAAUCACCCCAAAUUAACCUGGGACAGGGAAAGGUGUCCCUGUUUGUGGGGUCAGAGAUGUGAGGUCCCUUCCGAGCUGAAUCACCUCAUAUUAAUUUGGGAUAUGGAAAGAUGUCCCUGUUUAUGGGGUCAGAGAUGUGAGGUCCUUUCUGAGCUGAAUCAUCCCAUUUUAAUUUGGGAUAUGGAAAGGUGUCCCUGUUUGUGGGGUCAGAGAUGUGAGGUCCUUUCUGAGCUGAAUCACCCCAAAUUAAUCCGGGAUAUGGAAAGGUGUCCCUGUUUGUGGGGUCAGAGAUGUGAGGUCCUUUCCAAGCUGAAUCACCCCAUAACAACCUGGAGCAAGGAAAGAUGUCCCUGUUUGUAGGGUCAGAGGAGAUGUGAGGUCCUUUCUGAGCUGAAUCACCCCAAAUUAACCUGGGACAGGGAAAGGUGUCCCUGUUUAUGGGGUCACAGGGGCUGUGAGGUCCUUUCUGAGCUGAAUCACCCCAUCUUUGCUGUCACCAGUGAGUCAGAAGGGGAAGCCCUGUGCUGUUCUCAGAUGUGUCAGGGUAUAACCUGGCAGCCAGACCCAGCUGGGCUGGAACUCACCAAAAGCAGGAAGAAAGCACAAAAAGAAAAGUCCCAGGAAGCAGCAGAGCAGGGCCCAGCCCAGCUCUGUGCCUCUCUGGAGUUUUCACCUCUAAUCCAUCCCCUCUCAGCUCAGGAAUAAGAAGAUUUAAACAGCUGUGCUCAGUUUGGGGUCCUCGGGGUGAUUUCCUGGGUGAACCCUUGGCAGCUCCUGCUCCUUGCAGGUUAUUCAUUCACACAAAGAACCCAAAUCCUGCUCAGCCCCAUUCCCAGCCUCCUUCUCCCAGAGCUUCCCAAGAGCUGCUGACCCCUCAGCAACGAGGCCAGGCUGUUCCAUUAAUGUCAAACCAGUGCUGCUGAUGGUUUUACUGGGAUAAACUGAGCCUGGAACUUCAGAUUAUCCAUUUUACAGCUCCUGGNCUC